CGUCUUUCAACAGAGUCCUCGCUGAGGAGGUCAUCACUCGGAAUGAGCUGAUGUUGGAGGAAACGAGAAACACGAUCACAGUCCCGGCCUCUUUCAUGCUUCGAAUGUUGGCCUCCCUCAACCACAUCAGAUCAGAUCGAGUAGAAGGCGAUCGCUCCGAAGGCUCAGGCCAGGAAAACGAGGACGAGCAGUAGCCAGCUGGAAUUUUAUUUUAAAAUAAACACUAUUUCUUCUUGCUGUAUAGCACUUGAAAAAUACCCGAGAUUUGUACAAGUAUAGUGUAGAAAAACUUCCUUUUGAAAAUUAGUGUAAUUUCUAGCCCCUUGUGUUUUUUAAGAAGACUUUCUUACUGAUGUGUCUGUAUGAGGAUAAACUAUAUUUGUGUGAAUGUAAAGGCAAGGACGUCAAAAUAUAAGUGUGAGGAAAAGUGGUGGCUGGUGUGAAAGUUUAAGUGCAAUAUUAUUUUGUUAGGAGAAGGUGAGCUUUGAUCAGUGUUAACGUUUGACGUUUUUGAAACUGUAGCACAGCUGAGAAAUGUUGAUGUGCUGCUCCGGCAGUUACGCAUGUGAAUACAGACAUAAAGUAAAACA